GACGAACGCUGGCGGCGUGCUUAACACAUGCAAGUCGAACGGAAAGGCCCUGCUUGCAGGGUACUCGAGUGGCGAACGGGUGAGUAACACGUGGGUGAUCUGCCCUGCACUUCGGGAUAAGCCUGGGAAACUGGGUCUAAUACCGGGUAGGAGCCAUUUUUAGUGUGAUGGUUGGAAAGUUUUUUCGGUGGGGUAUGGCCUGGCGGCCUAUAAGCUUGUUGGUGGGGAAAUGCCCUACCAAGGCGGCGUCGGGUAGCCGGCCUGAGAGGGUGGACGGCCACAUUGGGACUGAGAUACGGCCCAGACUCCUACGGGAGGCAGCAGGGGGGAAUAUGGCACAAUGGGCGAAAGCUGAAUGCAGCAAGGCGGCGUGGGGGAUGACGGCCUUCGGGUUGUAAACCCCUUUCGCAGGUGACGAGGCUUUUGUGACGGUAACUAGAAAAGAAGCACCGGCUAACUACGUG
rnacentral:rRNA from 1 species